AAUAAGGUACGCCCUGAAGGGAAAAUUUAUUACAGGAAACACUUACAUAUAUAUAAUCUGCGCAAGCUACAGUAGAUUGUUCUUUGCUGCUUUUAGGAUGAGAGAACUUAUUUUGUAUAAAAUAAAAACAAAGCCCUGGUUCUGCAAAAACAACUUAUAAUGAGCCGAGCAACCAGAUCCAUUGGAGAUUGGGAAUGCGUAAAGAGAAUUGGGGAGGGAUCCUUUGGAGAUGUUUUCGUAGGAAAACAUAACAAAUCUGGAAAAUUGGCGGCUAUUAAAGUUAUAGAUACCUCCAAAUGGGAAGAAAAAUCGAAAACGAGAAGAACUAAGCUGUUAAAGAGAGAAAUUCGUUUCAGUCGUUUGCUUUACCAUCCCAACAUUAUUAAAAUGAUUGAUACGAUGGUCCAAGGCCCUAAAGUUUUACUAAUUUUAGAGCAUAUCCCUGGAGGUUAUUUA